rnacentral:ncRNA from 1 species
GAUAGAGGUUGCGGAUGAGAUGAUUACUUCGCGGUUUACGCCGGCAAGCGGCUGCGGAGGAAAGGCGAUUCCGCCGAAGCUUCCCCGCGGUUGCCGCCGCUUGGUUGCUGGGACUGUGUUUAACAGACGCAGGACUGUCACAUUUAUGUGGAGAGCUAUCA